CAUCAGCUGUUUCCGUAAACAGUUCAACAUGUUACUUUGCUCAGUUCUGCACUAACUGAGGCAGCAGCAGCGGAUUUCCCUUUGAAGUGGGAAAAACUGCACAACCUGGGAGAUCAAUGUUUUCAGGCGAGAUUUAAGGGGGAGAAAAAGCCUUUGAAGUGGAAGGAGGGAAGUGCUAUGGUAACAGAACAGGCUGGGACUGAGAGACAAGCCCAGCAUCACUGAGGGAUGUUGUGCCCCACUGGAGCCCUCCUGGAAGCCCCAGAGGCCUGGGUACCAAUUCUCAAGAGAUGCACUGGGCUGCCUGCCCCAUGCAGCCCAGAUAGGUGGGCACAGCCAUAUACCCACACCAGAAGUUCCUUUGCUUUUAAGGUAUGUGAUGUUACUGGCUCUGGUAUGCCAAGACUUUAAAAAUGUGGCUAUCGAGCGCUGGAACUUAUAUGCCAAGGAUGAAGAAACAAGAUCUGGGUACCUCCCGCUCUGUGCGGUCGGCACACUCU